AAAAUUACACGCUCUGUACCAAAUAAAUUCUUAGAAGGAGGAGACACAAAUUUUAAGAUGAAAAAAAAUGAAAAAUAAGGGUAAAAUAGAUAUUGAAAGUGGUGAAAAAAUAAAAAAUAAAAGUAUAUUCUUUUUAAUUGAUAAAUUUAUCAUGAGAAAACAAAAAACAAUAAAAAAUCACUAUUUAAAUCCCUCGUUUAUUUCCCUCAUUUCAUACAAAAAUGAAUUUCUCACUUUCC
rnacentral:lncRNA from 1 species